GAUGAACGCUGGCGGCGUGCCUAAUACAUGCAAGUCGAGCGAAUGGAUUAAGAGCUUGCUCUUAUGAAGUUAGCGGCGGACGGGUGAGUAACACGUGGGUAACCUGCCCAUAAGACUGGGAUAACUCCGGGAAACCGGGGCUAAUACCGGAUAACAUUUUGAAUCGCAUGGUUCGAAAUUGAAAGGCGGCUUCGGCUGUCACUUCUGGAUGGACCCGCGUCGCAUUAGCUAGUUGGUGAGGUAACGGCUCACCAAGGCAACGAUGCGUAGCCGACCUGAGAGGGUGAUCGGCCACACUGGGACUGAGACACGGCCCAGACUCCUACGGGAGGCAGUAGUAGGGAAUCUUCCGCAAUGGACGAAAGUCUGACGGAGCAACGCCGCGUGAGUGAUGAAGGCUUUCGGGUCGUAAAACUCUGUUGUUAGGGAAGAACAAGUGCUAGUUGAAUAAGCUGACACCUUGACGGUACCUAACCAGAAAGCCACGGCUAACUACGUGCCAGCAGCCGCGGUAA
rnacentral:rRNA from 1 species